GUGGGUGUAGUGUAGUUGGAAACACGCAGGCCUGUGAAGCCUGAAUCAGGGGAUCAUUCCCCCUCCCCCACCCA
rnacentral:tRNA from 4 species